rnacentral:rRNA from 1 species
UACGAAGGGAGCUAGCGUUGUUCGGAAUUACUGGGCGUAAAGCGCACGUAGGCGGAUUUGUUAGUCAGGGGUGAAAUCCCGGGGCCCAACCUCGGAACUGCCUUUGAUACUGCAAGUCUGGAGUCCGGAAGAGGUGGGUGGAAUUCCUAGUGUAGAGGUGAAAUUCGUAGAUAUUAGGAAGAACACCGGUGGCGAAGGCGGCCCACUGGUCCGGUACUGACGCUGAGGUGCGAAAGCGUGGGGAGCAAACAGGAUUAGAAACCCCGGUAGUCC